UACAGAGGGGGCAAGCGUUGUUCGGAAUUACUGGGCGUAAAGGGCGCGUAGGCGGCCUGCUAAGUCGAACGUGAAAUCCCUGGGCUCAACCCAGGAACUGCGUCCGAUACUGGUUGGCUUGAAUCCGGGAGAGGGACGUGGAAUUCCAGGUGUAGCGGUGAAAUGCGUAGAUAUCUGGAGGAACACCAAUGGCGAAGGCAGCUUGCUGGGACGGUACUGACGCUGAGACGCGAAAGCGUGGGGAGCAAACAGG
rnacentral:rRNA from 1 species